AGAUUGAACGCUGGCGGCAUGCCUAACACAUGCAAGUCGAACGGGAGUAGCAAUACUCUAGUGGCGGACGGGUGAGGAAUACGUAGGAAUUUGCCCUUAAGUGGGGGAUAACCCGGGGAGACCCGGAUUAAUACCGCAUGACCUCGAAAGAGCAAAGUGGGGGAUCGCAAGACCUCACGCUUUUGGAGAAGCCUACGUCGGAUUAGCUAGUUGGUGAGUAAUGGCACACCAAGGCGACGAUCCGUAACUGGUCUGAGAGAUGAUCAGUCACACCGGACUGACGACACGGGUCCGACUCCGUACGGGAGCAGCGAGUGGGAAUAUGGACAUGGGCACGAAGCUGAUCCAGACCAGUACCGGCGGUGGGUAGAAGGUAACGCCGUUGGUUAGUAACGUCCGUUUGGUA
rnacentral:rRNA from 1 species